rnacentral:rRNA from 1 species
GGAAUAUUGGACAAUGGGCGAGAGCCUGAUCCAGCCAUGCCGCGUGCAGGAAGACGGUCCUAUGGAUUGUAAACUGCUUUUGUACGGGAAGAACAAGGAGUACGUGUACUCCUCUGACGGUACCGUAAGAAUAAGGAUCGGCUAACUCCGUGCCAGCAGCCGCGGUAAUACGGAGGAACCGAGCGUUAUCCGGAAUUAGUGGGUUUAAAGGGUCCGUAGGCGGGCCAUUAAGUCAGGGGUGAAAGUCUGCGGCUCAACCGUAGAAUUGCCUUUGAUACUGGUGGUCUUGAGUUAUGGUGAAGUGGCUAGAAUACGUAGUGUAGCGGUGAAAUGCAUAGAUAUUACAUAGAAUACCGAUUGCGAAGGCAGGUCACUAACCAUAAACUGACGCUGAUGGACGAAAGCGUGGGUAGCGAAC